GACGAACGCUGGCGGCGUGCCUAAUACAUGCAAGUUGAGCGCUGAAGGUUGGUACUUGUACCAACUGGAUGAGCAGCGAACGGGUGAGUAACGCGUGGGGAAUCUGCCUUUGAGCGGGGGACAACAUUUGGAAACGAAUGCUAAUACCGCAUAAAAACUUUAAACACAAGUUUUAAGUUUGAAAGAUGCAAUUGCAUCACUCAAAGAUGAUCCCGCGUUGUAUUAGCUAGUUGGUGAGGUAAAGGCUCACCAAGGCGAUGAUACAUAGCCGACCUGAGAGGGUGAUCGGCCACAUUGGGACUGAGACACGGCCAAACUCCUACGGGAGGCAGCAGUAGGGAAUCUUCGGCAAUGGACGAAAGUCUGACCGAGCAACGCCGCGUGAGUGAAGAAGGUUUUCGGAUCGUAAAACUCUGUUGGUAGAGAAGAACGUUGGUGGGAGUGGAAAGCUCAUCAAGUGACGGUAACUACCCAGAAAGGGACGGCUAACUACGUG
rnacentral:rRNA from 1 species